GGGUAGUACAGAGGGUUGCCAAGCCGUAAGGCGGAGCUAAUCCCUUAAAGCUACUCUCAGUUCGGAUUGUAGGCUGAAACUCGCCUACAUGAAGCUGGAGUUACUAGUAAUCGCAGAUCAGAAUGCUGCGGUGAAUGCGUUCCCGGGUCUUGUACACACCGCCCGUCACACCACGGGAGUUGGAGACGCCCGAAGCCGAUUAUCUAACCUUUUGGAAGAAGUCGUCGAAGGUGGAAUCAAUAACUGGGGUGAAGUCGUAACAAGGUAGCCGUAUCGGAAGGUGCGGCUGGAUCACCUCCUUUCUAAGGAGA
rnacentral:rRNA from 1 species